rnacentral:rRNA from 1 species
UAAGACAGAGGCCACAAGCGUUAGGCGGAAUCACUGGGCUUAAAGCGCGUGUAGGUGGAUCGGCAAGUACCUUGUGAAAUCCCACGGCUCAACCGUGGAACUGCUUGGUAUACUGCUGAUCUUGGGCCAUCUAGGGGCGACUGGAACAAGCGGUGGAGCGGUGAAAUGCGUAGAUAUCGCUUGGAACGCCAAAGGUGAAAACAGGUCGCUGGGGAUGUGCCGACACUGAGACGCGAAAGCCAGGGGAGCAAACGGGAUUAGAUACCCCGGUAGUCCUGGCCCUAAACGAUGUCCACUAGAUCGUAGUCGCUCUGACGUGAUUAUGGUCGAAGCAAAAGUGCUAAGUGGACCGCCUGGGAAGUACGGUCGCAAGGCUA